rnacentral:rRNA from 1 species
AGAGUUUGAUCAUGGCUCAGGAUGAACGCUGCGGCGUGCCUAAUACAUGCAAGUCGAGCGAACCACUUCGGUGGUGAGCGGCGAACGGGUGAGUAACACGUAGGUGAUCUGCCCAUCAGACGGGGACAACGAUUGGAAACGAUCGCUAAUACCGGAUAGGACGAAAGUUUAAAGGUGCUUCUGGCACCGCUGAUGGAUGAGCCUGCGGCGCAUUAGCUAGUUGGUAGGGUAAAGGCCUACCAAGGCGACGAUGCGUAGCCGACCUGAGAGGGUGAACGGCCACACUGGGACUGAGACACGGCCCAGACUCCUACGGGAGGCAGCAGUAGGGAAUCUUCGGCAAUGGGCGAAAGCCUGACCGAGCAACGCCGCGUGAAUGAUGAAGGCCUUCGGGUUGUAAAAUUCUGUUAUAAGGGAAGAACGACUUUAGUAGGAAAUGGCUAGAGUGUGACGGUACCUUAUGAGAAAGCCACGGCUAACUACGUGCCAGCAGCCGCGGUAAUACGUAGGUGGCGAGCGUUAUCCGGAAUUAUUGGGCGUAAAGAGCGCGCAGGUGGUUGAUUAAGUCUGAUGUGAAAGCCCACGGCUUAACCGUGGAGGGUCAUUGGAAACUGGUCGACUUGAGUGCAGAAGAGGGAAGUGGAAUUCCAUGUGUAGCGGUGAAAUGCGUAGAGAUAUGGUGGAACACCAGUGGCGAAGGCGGCUUCCUGGUCUGUAACUGACACUGAGGCGCGAAAGCGUGGGGAGCAAACAGGAUUAGAUACCCUGGUAGUCCACGCCGUAAACGAUGAGUGCUAAGUGUUGGGGGUCGAACCUCAGUGCUGAAGUUAACGCAUUAAGCACUCCGCCUGGGGAGUACGGUCGCAAGACUGAAACUCAAAGGAAUUGACGG